CGAAGAUAAGACGGAUUAGCGGCGGACGGGUGAGUAACACGUGAGUAACCUGCCUUUUACACAGGGAUAGCCUCGGGAAACCGGGAUUAAAACCUGAUGAAACUAUCAAAUCACAUGAUUAAGAAAGUUAAAACUCCGGUGGUAAAAGAUGGACUCGCGUCCCAUUAGCUAGUUGGUGAAGGUAACGGCCCACCAAGGCAACGAUGGGUAGCCGGCCUGAGAGGGUGAACGGCCACAUUGGAACUGAGAAACGGUCCAAACUCCUACGGGAGGCAGCAGAG
rnacentral:rRNA from 1 species